GUAGGUAGUAGUUAUUAAUAAUUACUUAAUAAUAACUAAAAACUUUUUACACCCAAAUGGCACAAGAUGAAAAGGCCCCGGCUCAGCAUUAAUGCUGCAGGUUUUAAAAUAAAACCUGAGCACUAGUAUUCUGCAAAAAGGUUUGGUUAGAUGUUUUAUUUGCAA